rnacentral:ncRNA from 1 species
CCCAACGGGCGAGGGAGAAUCGGGAAAGCGGUGAAAUUCCGCUACGUGCCCAGCGCUGUGAAGGGGACUGUUCGCGCACGAUGCCACUGGCUCUUGGGGCCGGGAAGGCGCGUGGAUGGAAUGAACCCCAGUCAGAAGACCGGCCCGAGGGAC